UUAAGCGACUAAGCGUACACGGUGGAUGCCCUGGCAGUCAGAGGCGAUGAAGGACGUGCUAAUCUGCGAAAAGCGUCGGUAAGGUGAUAUGAACCGUUAUAGCCGGCGAUGUCCGAAUGGGGAAACCCAGUGCAAUUCGUUGCACUAUCGUUAACUGAAUACAUAGGUUAACGAGGCGAACCGGGGGAACUGAAACAUCUAAGUACCCCGAGGAAAAGAAAUCAACCGAGAUUCCCCCAGUAGCGGCGAGCGAACGGGGAGCAGCCCAGAGUCUGAAUCAGCUUGUGUGUUAGUGGAACGGUCUGGAAAGUCCGACGGUACAGGGUGAUAGUCCCGUACACCAAAAUGCACAGGCUGUGAACUCGAAGAGUAGGGCGGGACACGUGGUAUCCUGUCUGAAUAUGGGGGGACCAUCCUCCAAGGCUAAAUACUCCUGACUGACCGAUAGUGAACCAGUACCGUGAGGGAAAGGCGAAAAGAACCCCGGCGAGGGGAGUGAAAAAGAACCUGAAACCGUGUACGUACAAGCAGUGGGAGCACCUUCGGGUGUGACUGCGUACCUUUUGUAUAAUGGGUCAGCGACUUAUAUUCUGUAGCAAGGUUAACCGUAUAGGGGAGCCGCAGGGAAACCGAGUCUUAACUGGGCGUUAAGUUGCAGGGUAUAGACCCGAAACCCGGUGAUCUAGCCAUGGGCAGGUUGAAGGUUGGGUAACACUAACUGGAGGACCGAACCGACUAAUGUUGAAAAAUUAGCGGAUGACUUGUGGCUGGGGGUGAAAGGCCAAUCAAACCGGGAGAUAGCUGGUUCUCCCCGAAAGCUAUUUAGGUAGCGCCUCGUGAACUCAUCUUCGGGGGUAGAGCACUGUUUCGGCUAGGGGGUCAUCCCGACUUACCAACCCGAUGCAAACUACGAAUACCGAAGAAUGUUAUCACGGGAGACACACGGCGGGUGCUAACGUCCGUCGUGAAGAGGGAAACAACCCAGACCGCCAGCUAAGGUCCCAAAGUCAUGGUUAAGUGGGAAACGAUGUGGGAAGGCACAGACAGCCAGGAUGUUGGCUUAGAAGCAGCCAUCAUUUAAAGAAAGCGUAAUAGCUCACUGGUCGAGUCGGCCUGCGCGGAAGAUGUAACGGGGCUAAACCAUGCACCGAAGCUGCGGCAGCGACACUAUGUGUUGUUGGGUAGGGGAGCGUUCUGUAAGCCUGCGAAGGUGUGCUGUGAGGCAUGCUGGAGGUAUCAGAAGUGCGAAUGCUGACAUAAGUAACGAUAAAGCGGGUGAAAAGCCCGCUCGCCGGAAGACCAAGGGUUCCUGUCCAACGUUAAUCGGGGCAGGGUGAGUCGACCCCUAAGGCGAGGCCGAAAGGCGUAGUCGAUGGGAAACAGGUUAAUAUUCCUGUACUUGGUGUUACUGCGAAGGGGGGACGGAGAAGGCUAUGUUAGCCGGGCGACGGUUGUCCCGGUUUAAGCAUGUAGGCUGGUUGUCCAGGCAAAUCCGGAUAAUCAAGGCUGAGGUGUGAUGACGAGGCACUACGGUGCUGAAGUAACAAAUGCCCUGCUUCCAGGAAAAGCCUCUAAGCAUCAGGUAACAUUAAAUCGUACCCCAAACCGACACAGGUGGUCAGGUAGAGAAUACCAAGGCGCUUGAGAGAACUCGGGUGAAGGAACUAGGCAAAAUGGUGCCGUAACUUCGGGAGAAGGCACGCUGGUGUGUAGGUGAAGUCCCUGCGGAUGGAGCUGAGACCAGUCGAAGAUACCAGCUGGCUGCAACUGUUUAUUAAAAACACAGCACUGUGCAAACACGAAAGUGGACGUAUACGGUGUGACGCCUGCCCGGUGCCGGAAGGUUAAUUGAUGGGGUUAUCCGUAAGGAGAAGCUCUUGAUCGAAGCCCCGGUAAACGGCGGCCGUAACUAUAACGGUCCUAAGGUAGCGAAAUUCCUUGUCGGGUAAGUUCCGACCUGCACGAAUGGCGUAAUGAUGGCCAGGCUGUCUCCACCCGAGACUCAGUGAAAUUGAACUCGCUGUGAAGAUGCAGUGUACCCGCGGCAAGACGGAAAGACCCCGUGAACCUUUACUAUAGCUUGACACUGAACAUUGAGCCUUGAUGUGUAGGAUAGGUGGGAGGCUUUGAAGCGUGGACGCCAGUCUGCGUGGAGCCAACCUUGAAAUACCACCCUUUAAUGUUUGAUGUUCUAACGUUGGCCCCUGACCGGGGUUGCGGACAGUGUCUGGUGGGUAGUUUGACUGGGGCGGUCUCCUCCUAAAGCGUAACGGAGGAGCACGAAGGUUAGCUAAUCCUGGUCGGACAUCAGGAGGUUAGUGCAAUGGCAUAAGCUAGCUUGACUGCGAGCGUGACGGCGCGAGCAGGUGCGAAAGCAGGUCAUAGUGAUCCGGUGGUUCUGAAUGGAAGGGCCAUCGCUCAACGGAUAAAAGGUACUCCGGGGAUAACAGGCUGAUACCGCCCAAGAGUUCAUAUCGACGGCGGUGUUUGGCACCUCGAUGUCGGCUCAUCACAUCCUGGGGCUGAAGUAGGUCCCAAGGGUAUGGCUGUUCGCCAUUUAAAGUGGUACGCGAGCUGGGUUUAGAACGUCGUGAGACAGUUCGGUCCCUAUCUGCCGUGGGCGCUGGAGAAUUGAGGGGGGCUGCUCCUAGUACGAGAGGACCGGAGUGGACGCAUCACUGGUGUUCGGGUUGUCAUGCCAAUGGCACUGCCCGGUAGCUAAAUGCGGAAGAGAUAAGUGCUGAAAGCAUCUAAGCACGAAACUUGCCCCGAGAUGAGUUCUCCCUGAGACUUUAAGUCUCCUGAAGGAACGUUAAAGACGAUGACGUUGAUAGGCCGGGUGUGUAAGCGCAGCGAUGCGUUGAGCUAACCGGUACUAAUGAACCGUGAGGCUUAACCUU
rnacentral:rRNA from 1 species